GGGGAUGUAGCUCAGUUGGUAGAGUGCUUGCCUUGCAUGCACAAGGCUCUGGGGUUCAAUCCCCAGCGCCA
rnacentral:tRNA from 1 species